rnacentral:rRNA from 2 species
GAUCCUGGCUCAGGAUGAACGCUGGCGGCGUGCCUAAUAAUGUAAGUCGUGCGAACUGAUUAGAAGCUUGCUUCUAUGACGUUAGCGGCGGACGGGUGAGUAACACGUGGGCAACCUGCCUGUAAGACUGGGAUAACUCCGGGAAACCGGAGCUAAUACCGGAUAACAUUUUCUCUUGCAUAAGAGAAAAUUGAAAGAUGGUUUCGGCUAUCACUUACAGAUGGGCCCGCGGUGCAUUAGCUAGUUGGUGAGGUAACGGCUCACCAAGGCAACGAUGCAUAGCCGACCUGAGAGGGUGAUCGGCCACACUGGGACUGAGACACGGCCCAGACUCCUACGGGAGGCAGCAGUAGGGAAUCUUCCGCAAUGGACGAAAGUCUGACGGAGCAACGCCGCGUGAGUGAUGAAGGCUUUCGGGUCGUAAAACUCUGUUGUUAGGGAAGAACAAGUACAAGAGUAACUGCUUGUACCUUGACGGUACCUAACCAGAAAGCCACGGCUAACUACGUGCCAGCAGCCGCGGUAAUACGUAGGUGGCAAGCGUUAUCCGGAAUUAUUGGGCGUAAAGCGCGCGCAGGCGGUUUCUUAAGUCUGAUGUGAAAGCCCACGGCUCAACCGUGGAGGGUCAUUGGAAACUGGGGAACUUGAGUGCAGAAGAGAAAAGCGGAAUUCCACGUGUAGCGGUGAAAUGCGUAGAGAUGUGGAGGAACACCAGUGGC